GGUCUGUGUAUCCCUAAAUAAUAGGUGAGUCAAACUCAGGUCUGGGAUUUUUCAGCGGUAGUGAAGGGGCAUUACACCCUGUGAGGUAUGGAUAUUAUGCAAUUUCUCAGAAGCCAAAUUAUUGUUUCCCUACACACCACCUCUUAUGUUCUGACCAAUGACUUAGAAAUCAAUGAGAACUUGGCUUGCAAAAAGCAAACAUAAAGCUUCGAGUCCAGUUAAAUUGUGGCAGCUUUCAGGAAGCUAAUUUCGCCGAUUCAUUAAAAUAAUCGACUUUUAACAGAUACUGUGACGCACGCAAAGAUGUAGAUGGCCUACUCUGCCUACAGAGAAUUUACACUCUGGCAGAGGAGACAGGAUGUGUACACCACUGGUGAAAAUACUGGACACAAUACGACUGGAAGCUGCAUGAGGACAGGGAACAUGUCUGGUUCUGCUCACCAUAAAAUCCCCAGCAGCUGCAAACUCAGAUGGAGAUGACCAGCAAGUGACAGACCUGUUCAGCAAGCAAACAUAUUAUUUUGCACAUGACUUCCCUUGAAUAAAUGUGAGCCUCCACUCUGCAAUCCUUGCCGGAGACCAAGUGGUUUUAAAAUAGAGACAGAUGUGUGAUACCACGCAUUGGCUUGUAACACCC
rnacentral:lncRNA from 1 species